rnacentral:rRNA from 1 species
CCUACGGGAGGCUGCAGUGAGGAAUAUUGGUCAAUGGACGAGAGUCUGAACCAGCCAAGUAGCGUGAAGGAUGACUGCCCUAUGGGUUGUAAACUUCUUUUAUAAAGGAAUAAAACGAGGCACGUGUGCCUUUUUGCAUGUACUUUAUGAAUAAGGAUCGGCUAACUCCGUGCCAGCAGCCGCGGUAAUACGGAGGAUCCGAGCGUUAUCCGGAUUUAUUGGGUUUAAAGGGAGCGUAGAUGGGUUGUUAAGUCAGGUGUGAAAGUUUGCGGCUCAACCGUAAAAUUGCAAUUGAUACUGGCAGUCGUGAGUACAGUUGAGGUAAGCGGAAUUCGUGGUGUAGCGGUGAAAUGCUUAGAUAUCACGAAGAACCCCGAUUGCGAAGGCAGCUUACUAAACUGUGACUGACAUUGAUGCUCGAAAGUGUGGGUAUCAAACAGGAUUAGAUACCCCGGUAGUC